GACGAACGCUGGCGGCGUGCUUAACACAUGCAAGUCGAGCGGAGCGGCGAACGGGUGAGUAACGCGUGAGUAACUGCCCUCCUCUCUGGGAUAACAGUUGGCAACGGCUGCUAAUACCGGAUAGUGGGGGAUGACUCGGGUCCUAUCUGCUUGGUGGUGGGGUAGUGGCCUACCAAGGCGACGACGUGUAGCCGGCCUGAGAGGGCGACCGGCCGAAAUAGGCUGAGAUACGGACCAGACGUCUACGGGAGGCAGCGGUGGGGAAUAUUACGCAACGGGGGAAGGCGUGAUGCAGAAACGUCGCGGGCGGGAUGACGGCCUUCGGGUUGUAAACCGCUUUCAGCCAUGACGCGGUAGUGGCAGAAGAAGCACCGGCUAACUACGUGCCAGCAGCCGCGGUAAUAG
rnacentral:rRNA from 1 species